rnacentral:lncRNA from 1 species
AACCUUAUAAGUUCAUAGUAUAAUUCAUAUUGUCUUUAUCCUAUGUUUGCUCGAAAACUAAAUUCAUUCUAAUUCUAUUUUUUUCUCUCUUUACAUGUACAUUUUGGAGUAAAUUGGGUCUUAAUGCAAGACCCUUCCAAUCACGGAGCCAAUGCAUAUUUCCCUGGAGUUUAUUUAAUCUGUCGCACUGUACGAAAACAGUGAAGGACGGAGAGAAUCAUUUGAUUUUGAACUACUGAGAUGGUCUCUUACUAUGUAUAUUACUUAUUUUGUUUUACUAACUGAUUAUCUAUUUGGUUUAUAGUUAACCAUGAGUAAUUCCACUGCUUGGUGUCUUGGACAUGACUUUCAAAUUAAGUCGGUAGAUAGAGGAACCUGAACGAGUUUAGGAGUAAACUAAUAACUAAUAUUAAGUUGUUAUGAAAUCUCCUAUUUAAGGUGAAUGUCUAUAAUUAGAGAGAUUCUAGAGUUCU